rnacentral:rRNA from 1 species
GACGAACGCUGGCGGCGUGCUUAACACAUGCAAGUCGAACGGUGAAGCCCUUCGGGGUGGAUCAGUGGCGAACGGGUGAGUAACACGUGGGAAAUCUGCCCUGCACUCUGGGACAAGCCUUGGAAACGAGGUCUAAUACCGGAUACGACCAGGAGCGACAUCACUCCUGGUGGAAAGAAAUUCGGUGAGGGAUGGGCCCGCGGCCUAUCAGCUAGUUGGUGGGGUAACGGCCCACCAAGGCGACGACGGGUAGCCGGCCUGAGAGGGCGACCGGCCACACUGGGACUGAGACACGGCCCAGACUCCUACGGGAGGCAGCAGUGGGGAAUAUUGCGCAAUGGGCGAAAGCCUGACGCAGCGACGCAGCGCGAGGGACGACGGCCUUCGGGUUGUAAACCUCUUUCAGCGGGGACGAAGCGAAAGUGACGGUACCCGCAGAAGAAGCACCGGCUAACUACGUGCCAGCCGCCGCAGUAAGAC